CUCAGUAACGGCGAGUGAAGCGGCAAAAGCUCAAAUUUGAAAUCUAGCACCUUCGGUGUUCGAGUUGUAAUUUGAAGAUGGUAACCUUGGGUUUGGCUCUUGUCUAUGUUCCUUGGAACAGGACGUCAUAGAGGGUGAGAAUCCCGUCUGAUGAGAUGCCCAUUCCUAUGUAAGGUGCUAUCGAAGAGUCGAGUUGUUUGGGAAUGCAGCUCUAAGUGGGUGGUAAAUUCCAUCUAAAGCUAAAUAUUGGCGAGAGACCGAUAGCGAACAAGUACAGUGAUGGAAAGAUGAAAAGAACUUUGAAAAGAGAGUGAAAAAGUACGUGAAAUUGUUGAAAGGGAAGGGCAUUAGAUCAGACUUGGUGUUUUACGAUUAUCUUCUCUUCUUGAGUUGUGCACUCGUAUUUCACUGGGCCAGCAUCGAUUCGGAUGGCAAGAUAAUGGCAGUUGAAUGUGGCUUCACUUCGGUGGAGUGUUAUAGCUUCUGCUGAUAUUGCCUGUCUGGAUCGAGGGCUGCGUCU
rnacentral:rRNA from 1 species